UACGUAGGGGGCGAGCGUUGUCCGGAGUUACUGGGCGUAAAGCGCACGCAGGCGGUCUGCUAAGUUUGGAGUGACAGUUGGUGGCUUAACUGCCAAAGUGCUUCGAAAACUGACAGACUUGAGGGCUUCAGAGGGACACGGAAUUCCGGGUGGAGUGAUGAAAUGCGUAGAGAUCCGGAGGAACACCAAAGGCGAAGGCAGUGUCCUGGGGAGUACCUGACGCUCAGGUGCGAAAGCCAGGGGAGCGAACGGG
rnacentral:rRNA from 1 species